CAGGCAACAUGACUUAAAACGGUCGCGGCUUAUGACGUCAGACGCUGUAAAAGCUCGCCAGGUGCUUUAAAUCUCACAGGUAUACGGCGUUAUUCCUUAACGGCGGCUUGAACUGGUCCGGACGAAGGAGUGAGACAGAAAGCUACGUCAAGAUUUCUGCGCCAGGUCAGAGUUGUCCAGCGUCAAGGUCCACUCCUGAAACUGAAAGACAAGAUUGGUCAUCCUGAAGAUCUUCAACACACAGUUAAAGGCGACCAGGGAUGCUAGCAGAACAAAGAAGCCAUGUGAAAAAACCUCGUGAAUUCCUGGCUGAAGUAUCCUCACCAUUAACCUUGGCUUCUGAGGCCAAAAUGGAACAGUCCCAGUUUGGGGGUAAAUCUGGAGAUGAACACAAGUGAAGGACCACAGAAAGCCGUGUGCUUACUCUGCAGUCUGUUUACAUUCCUGAGGGUAAUUUUAGCCCCUAGAGGGGAGAGCAGAGCAGGGGGUCCGACAUGUCGUUGGUGCUUGUCAGUGGUGGACAGGAGAGCUGGGACAUGUUUGUGGUACACAGGAACACUCACGCAUGUUGGUGGCGUUCUAAUAUUUAUUUAUUCAUUUAAUGAUUUGCCAACUAAUAAUCAGGCUUUUUUCUUAAAUAAUUUUGAUUUUAAAGAGUCUUUGAUUUCUAUAUAACAUCUGUGAAAUUGUUGAGAAAAUAAACUUGAGGUGAAAAUUGAAAUCUUAUUAAGCUGUACUAUUUCAAUUUCUGCUUUAUUUUAGGCUACCUUUAAUCACUUGGUGGCUACAUUUUAGUAUUUUUUAAAAAAAAUAGUUUUGGCAAGAUAUGUAUUUCCAAUAUAUUCUGUUUUAUUCAGUUCCAGGGUUUCUGUGCCUACAGUGAUAUUUUGGCAAAAACUAAAUCAGCUUUUCUUUAAUUCUCUGACUCAUUUGUGUCUUUCAAUACGAACAUUUCUGUCAUUUUAGCCAUUUGUUAUUUUUUUUUAUUUUUACAAUUAUUUAUAAAAUAUGGUAAAAAAAAAGGCUGCAGGGCUAAAAGCAGAGAAUUCAGUGUGGAGUGGUCCACCGCUGACACCAUUAGCUUCAGGAAACGUAGGAUAUCCGUAGUGUUUACACUUUUGAUCUGCGGUGCAAAUCUAAUUUCAUUGUAGUUUUUAAAAAUUUGCUAGACAAACAUAACAAUAAUCCCAGCUCAAGACUCACUGGGAGCUCCUGUUCUGUGUGUGU